UACGGAGGGAGCUAGCGUUGUUCGGAUAUACUGGGCGUAAAGCGCACGUAGGCGGUUGCUAGAUCAGGGGUGAAAUCCCGGAGCUCAACUCCAGAACUGCCUUUGAUACUGAGGAUCUUGAGUUCGGGAGAGGUGAGUGGAACUGCGAGUGUAGAGGUGAAAUUCGUAGAUAUUCGCAAGAACACCAGUGGCGAAGGCGGCUCACUGGCCCGAUACUGACGCUGAGGCACGAAAAGCGUGGGGAGCAAACAGGG
rnacentral:rRNA from 1 species